rnacentral:piRNA from 1 species
UAGUCUGACCUUGAUUGACCUUCCCGGCCA